GCUCCCUACGGGGGGCAGCAGUAGGGAAUCUUCCACAAUGGACGAAAGUCUGAUGGAGCAACGCCGCGUGAGUGAAGAAGGGUUUCGGCUCGUAAAGCUCUGUUGGUAGUGAAGAAAGAUAGAGGUAGUAACUGGCCUUUAUUUGACGGUAAUUACUUAGAAAGUCACGGCUAACUACGUGCCAGCAGCCGCGGUAAUACGUAUGGCGCAAGCGUUAUCCGGAUUUACUGGGUGUAAAGGGGGCGCAGGCGGUGCGGCAAGUCUGAUGUGAAAGCCUUCGGCUUAACCGGAGUAG
rnacentral:rRNA from 1 species